rnacentral:tRNA from 1 species
GCCUUCAAAGGAUAACAGCUCAUCCGUUGGUCUUAGGAACCAAAAACUCUUGGUGCAAAUCCAAGUGAAAGCU